ensembl:lncRNA
CCUUAUCUAAAGAUAACUUGUUGAGCCUGGAUGCAAGAAGAGGAGGAAACAGCUCACGUGGUACAGAUUAAAAAAAACACUGCUUCCCUAAUCCUAUCAUCAAACAUUUUACCAUGGCACUAAUGUUUGUAAAUCCUCUUGGUUGAAUACAAGAGAUCUUUUCCAUUAGAGUUGUCCAAACAUAUGUUGGUUUGUCUAGAAACUUUAUUUUCAAUGAAAGCAUUUACUUAUCGUUCAGAGAACAAAAAUCCUGGAUGUACAUAACAUUCCUCAUCUGCUCACACCAACUUUCCUCCCCAAGACAUUGGAAAGAAAUCUUUCCUGCUAUCCUAAAUUAUUCUUGAUUGUUGACAUAGUUCACCCAUUAAAAGGCUCUUAGAAAACAUUUGGGGGGGGGGGACCUUAACUAGAAAUCUUAGUGGACAGCUGUUGCCAAUCAAAAUAGACCAUGUUAUAGUAAGUGGACUAACAGUCUGAUUCACAGGAUGCUUUUAGGAGAGACCAUAGGCAAAAUUCAGUAGACAGAUUAUCAUGAGAAAAUAUUGUCAUGUUUUUUUGUCAUUGCCAGUUAAACAAUCCCUCGUACCAAGGCUUGCUUAAGAGUUUUAGGGGCUGCAGCCUUUGGGGACAACAGUAGACGUAAAUAGCCUAAUAACCAGUUCAUAUGUCUGUCAUGCAGUUUUAAACUCUGCUUUAAUCUCUGUGUACUAUGUUUAACUAUAUUCCACAGUUCUGGGAAAUGGAGUUUUUUCUCUCGUUAUGGCGAAUUGCUUCAUUAAUGGUCAAUAUUCAGAGGCUUCGUUCUCCUGCAUUCUGCUUUUGACUCCUGCUGUGUGAUCUGUUUUUUUAAAAAUAAUUUUAUUGAAGUUUUACCUUAUAAGAUAAAUUAACAUCGAAAGAGUGAGAACAUUUAAUUGUAUAGAAAGUAGGAAAAGUGAGAUAAAAGAAAAUCGAAAAAAGGGGAAAAACCCAAAAACCAAAAGCAAAACUAAAAUGUCCAUAUUUGUAUAAAAAAGUAGUAAUAAUGAGGUAUGAGUAAAUAAAAAAGAAAAUUGAAAAAAGAAAAAAAGGUUUGUUGACUUCCUUCUUAUUCUUGAUAGACCUAAUGUUUAAUUUAGCUUAACUUAUUAUUGUUUUAAAAUUUGCUUCCCCUCUGUCUUCUUCUUAUCCUUAAGAUCAAUUACUUUCAACAAAUGAGGUCUAUUUUCAUCUAUUUCAGGUAGUCCUUUACGAGAUCCCAAUUUGUUUCUGUCUGUCUUGUGGAGGCCUUCGUUGGGUGACAACCAAUAUGUAAGUCCAUGUUCAUAAUCUCUAGCACCUUGUGUAACCAACCUUCUUUUUUCAGUGUUUCUAUUUGUCUCCAAUUUCUGGCAUAAACUAUUCUAGCUGCACUGACCAGGUAAUUGAAUAAAAUCUCCUUAUUUUUGUCUAUCUAUAUCUAACAUGUCUAGUAAAAAAUAUUCAGGUUCCCUUCGAAUUUUCAUUUUUAAUAUUUUUUGAAUAACUUCAUUUAUUUCUUUCCAAAAUUGUUGUGCUUUCGGGCAAGACCACCAUGUGUGAAAAAAGUUCCUGUCUGCAGACCACAUUUCCAGCAUUUGUUAGAUGCAUUUUUAAAACAUUUUGAAAUUUUAUAUGGUGUAAUAUACCAUCUAUACUGCAUUUUUAACCAAUUCUUUUUCAUGUCAUAAGAAUAAGUAUAUUUCUGCUGUGUGAUCUGUUUGACCUCAUUUGGAGCUGCUGCACACUGGAACAGAACUCAAAACUUUGGACAACAAGUUGAAACAUUUGAUAGUUUUGAUCUAUACAUAAUAUUCUAUUCCUAGCCAACAAUGUGCUGCCACCUAUAACUCUGUUUUCUAUUGGGGGCAGAUGAUGUACCUUUUGGAAACAAACUCCAUAUUUUUCUGCAUCCACACAACUGCAGUGAUUCAACUGCCUAUGGUCCUGUGGUUCUACUUCUGCUUAAGUUCAUAAAUCCACCCUCCAGUAGUCC